GGUCUGGUAGCUUAGCCCGGUGGAGCGUUCGACUGAUAAUCGAAAGGUCGGGAGUCCAAAUCUCCCCCAGACCA
rnacentral:tRNA from 2 species